UCAGAGCCAGAGGUUGGCUGACCAAGGUUGAUCCAGUCUGACCACACACAACUUUCUUCACCACUGCACUGGGUAGUUGAUGCUCCUGUUGAGGUUGAUGUAGGAGUAGAGGUUGGAGUUGUAGUAGAAGGCAGAGUUGUUGUUUUUGUGGUAGAUGGAGCUGUCGAAGUUAAGAUUGUAGUAGUGGGUGUAGGACUCGUGGUCGACAGAACUGUUGUUGUUGUUGUUGUUGUUGUCGGGAUGUGUGUUGUGGGAGGACAUUGACAACAUUUCACUCGUAUCUCGUAAUCGAAGCACUUUUGCUGAAGACCUUGCUUACUGUUUUUACAAAUCAGUCCAACGGAUGGAUUGCAAGUCACGUCUUGGCCAAGCUGAGAGAUCUGAAGUCCAGGGUAUUGUUUUGCUCUACAUUCAACUGCCUCUGGAGCUGAGCAAAUGUGAUAACCACUAGCAAUGAUGUUCUUAAUGGAUUCAUUAUCUCCACCUUCAGAGCCAGAGGUUGGCUGACCAAGGUUGAUCCAGUCUGACCACA